CGGCCUCCUCUCCGGAAGGAAACGAUCCCGGUCGGGCCGCCUCCAGCUUUCAGCGCCUACGCCCCCUCGUGCCUCCUCCCCGGGUCCUAGUUCGUCGUCCCAUUUCCCGUCCCGUCCCGCCCCUCCGCCCGGCCUCGAAGCACACCCGCGUCCGGGGGCUCCGUCGCCCCCCUCCCAGCGCGUCGGCUCCACUGACCUCAUCGGCUGAGCUCGGGUCCCAGAUCCCCGGGCGAGCGCCCGCAUCUCCCUCCCCUCUCGUCUCCCCCGGCCCGCAGCCGGUGUCUGCACCUGUUCCUCACUUGUAAUAAUUAGAAGCACUGGAGGCUGAGAUGGCUGGAUGGCAUCACUGAGGCAAUCGACAUGAACUUGGGCAAACUUCCGGAGAUGGUGAGGGACAGUCCAUGGGGUCACAAAGAGUCGGACACAACUGAGCAACUGAACAGCAAGAUAGUCUGAUCAGUUACGAAAGUUAAAGAAAUCAGCAUGUAAGGGGAUGAUAGAAGCUCAUAUACUGAAACAUGAAAAGCUUUAUCUAAGACAUGAUUCACCUGUUCGAAUCAUCAAUGUACUCUGAGAAGAAGAAAUGAAACUCCGGCUGUCACUUAUGAAAGGAUUAAGAGGUGACCAUUUCAGAAUUAACACUUGCCUAUCUUCACUCCCUCCUGGGCUUGUAUGACAGUCUCUUAGACAUAAGCAAAACAUCCAAUCAAGCUUUUACAAGUAAAGAAGCACUGUGUGUGAUAUGAGGAUUUGUUUUUUCCUGUAAUUGUCUAUGAUUAGGCAGUGAGCUUCAAGAUCUUCAGAGAGCUUCUAAUCACCAAUCUGAAUUUAUUCUAAAAAGAUUUUUUAUUUUAAUUUUCUCCUUUAGCUACUCUCCUAAAAUACUAAUAAACUUCAACUUAAAAUUUACUAUCUUAAAAAGUUAAAAUGUACAUGCCGUCUUUCCUCUGGUUUAAUUUUCAAACUCUGUUAAUUACUUGGUUUCUUUUCCUGUCCUAUAGAUCACUGCUAUUGAAAAGAAAUACAAUAUGAUCCACAUGUACAAUUAAAACUUCUCUAGAACCCACAUUUUAAAAAGUAAAAACAGGUGAAGUUAAUCUAAAGAAUACACUUUGUUUUACCCACUAUAUCCAGUUCUACUAAGUUUUAAAGCUCAUUUUUUGAAUAAUAAAAAGACAAAUGGAUUUCGAAACAUUUACAGGAUUUAUUGUGCUACUUUCUUAAGUAUCAAUAUAUAAAUAUUAUGCAUACUGAUCAAUACAAAUAUGAUACAUAUGUAUGCAUGUAAAUACAGGUAUAUACAGUGAAUAUAUAUAUAAUGUUUUCUUUAUAGCCACA